rnacentral:rRNA from 1 species
CGGUGCAAGUCGAACGCCCCGCAAGGGGAGUGGCAGACGGGUGAGUAACGCGUGGGAAUCUACCGUACCCUACGGAACAACAGUUGGAAACGACUGCUAAUACCGUAUACGCCCUACGGGGGAAAGAUUUAUCGGGGUAUGAUGAGCCCGCGUUGGAUUAGCUAGUUGGUGGGGUAAAGGCCUACCAAGGCGACGAUCCAUAGCUGGUCUGAGAGGAUGAUCAGCCACAUUGGGACUGAGACACGGCCCAAACUCCUACGGGAGGCAGCAGUGGGGAAUAUUGGACAAUGGGCGCAAGCCUGAUCCAGCCAUGCCGCGUGAGUGAUGAAGGUCUUAGGAUUGUAAAGCUCUUUCACCGGAGAAGAUAAGGUGGAAACCUAAA